rnacentral:rRNA from 1 species
CUUAACACAUGCAAGUCGAGCGGUAACAUGACAAGUAGCAAUACUAGUAGAUGACGAGCGGCGGACGGGUGAGUAACACGUAGGAACUUGCCCAGUAGUGGGGGACAACCAAGGGAAACUUUGGCUAAUACCGCAUAUUCUCGAGAGAGGAAAGCUGCCGCAAGGUGGCGCUAUUGGAGAGGCCUGCGUCCGAUUAGCUAGUUGGUAGGGUAAAAGCCUACCAAGGCGAGGAUCGGUAACUGGUCUGAGAGGACGACCAGUCACACUGGGACUGAGACACGGCCCAGACUCCUACGGGAGGCAGCAGUGGGGAAUCUUGGACAAUGGGGGCAACCCUGAUCCAGCGAUGCCGCGUGAGUGAAGAAGGCCUUCGGGUCGUAAAGCUCUUUAGGCUGGGAAGAAGGUUGGUAGUUUAAGAGAUAAUCAAUUUGACUGUACCAGCAGAAUAAGCACCGGCAAACUCUGUGCCAGCCGCCGCCGUAA